GUCGAGCGAACGGACGAGAAGCUUGCUUCUCUGAUGUUAGCGGCGGACGGGUGAGUAACACGUGGAUAACCUACCUAUAAGACUGGGAUAACUUCGGGAAACCGGAGCUAAUACCGGAUAAUAUUUUGAACCGCAUGGUUCAAAAGUGAAAGACGGUCUUGCUGUCACUUAUAGAUGGAUCCGCGCUGCAUUAGCUAGUUGGUAAGGUAACGGCUUACCAAGGCAACGAUGCAUAGCCGACCUGAGAGGGUGAUCGGCCACACUGGAACUGAGACACGGUCCAGACUCCUACGGGAGGCAGCAGUAGGGAAUCUUCCGCAAUGGGCGAAAGCCUGACGGAGCAACGCCGCGUGAGUGAUGAAGGUCUUCGGAUCGUAAAACUCUGUUAUUAGGGAAGAACAUAUGUGUAAGUAACUGUGCACAUCUUGACGGUACCUAAUCAGAAAGCCACGGCUAACUACGUGCCAGCAGCCGCGGUAAUACGUAGGUGGCAAGCGUUAUCCGGAAUUAUUGGGCGUAAAGCGCGCGUAGGCGGUUUUUUAAGUCUGAUGUGAAAGCCCACGGCUCAACCGUGGAGGGUCAUUGGAAACUGGAAAACUUGAGUGCAGAAGAGGAAAGUGGAAUUCCAUGUGUAGCGGUGAAAUGCGCAGAGAUAUGGAGGAACACCAGUGGCGAAGGCGACUUUCUGGUCUGUAACUGACGCUGAUGUGCGAAAGCGUGGGGAUCAAACAGGAUUAGAUACCCUGGUAGUCCACGCCGUAAACGAUGAGUGCUAAGUGUUAGGGGGUUUCCGCCCCUUAGUGCUGCAGCUAACGCAUUAAGCACUCCGCCUGGGGAGUACGACCGCAAGGUUGAAACUCAAAGGAAUUGACGGGGACCCGCACAAGCGGUGGAGCAUGUGGUUUAAUUCGAAGCAACGCGAAGAACCUUACCAAAUCUUGACAUCCUUUGACAACUCUAGAGAUAGAGCCUUCCCCUUCGGGGGACAAAGUGACAGGUGGUGCAUGGUUGUCGUCAGCUCGUGUCGUGAGAUGUUGGGUUAAGUCCCGCAACGAGCGCAACCCUUAAGCUUAGUUGCCAUCAUUAAGUUGGGCACUCUAAGUUGACUGCCGGUGACAAACCGGAGGAAGGUGGGGAUGACGUCAAAUCAUCAUGCCCCUUAUGAUUUGGGCUACACACGUGCUACAAUGGACAAUACAAAGGGCAGCGAAACCGCGAGGUCAAGCAAAUCCCAUAAAGUUGUUCUCAGUUCGGAUUGUAGUCUGCAACUCGACUACAUGAAGCUGGAAUCGCUAGUAAUCGUAGAUCAGCAUGCUACGGUGAAUACGUUCCCGGGUCUUGUACACACCGCCCGUCACACCACGAGAGUUUGUAACACCCGAAGCCGGUGGAGUAACCUUUUAGGAGCUAGCCGUCGAAGG
rnacentral:rRNA from 1 species